GGACUACUGGGGUUUCUAAUCCCGUUUGCUCCCCUAGCUUUCGCGCCUCAGCGUCAGAAGAGGUCCAGCAGCUCGCUUUCGCCACCGGCGUUCCUUCCAAUAUCAACGCAUUUCACCGCUCCACUGGAAGUUCCAGCUGCCCCUACCUCCCUCCAGCCCAUCAGUAUCCAAGGCACUUUUCCGGUUGAGCCGAAAGAUUUCACCCCGGACUUGAUGAACCGCCUACGCGCCCUUUAAGCCCAGUGAUUCCGAACAACGUUUGCACGGUUCGUCUUACCGCGGCUGCUGGCAC
rnacentral:rRNA from 1 species